GUCUGCGUUCCACCACCGACUGAAUGGCAAGAGAGACCCACCGAAACGCCAGACCACCGCACCACCAGACCACCGAAUUAAGGCGAGACAACGGCAACCACAUCGAAAGCAGCAGAAGCGAGAGUCGUGCAACAUUUGCUCGAGCCAGGCCAACGACAAGCUGCAAUCGCUCAACCAGCCACUCAGUCAUUCAGUCAGUUAGUCAGUGAGUCAGGCGUUCAGUUCAGGCCAAGUUAAGUCGAGUCACUCAGCCAGUCGGCCCGUGGAGUUGCCAAUGUAAAUUAGGCACACUUACAAAAAUGAAAGCAAUGAAAAACAUAAUUUAUAUCAGUGCAGCCGGCGGGGGACAGAGGCAGCCAACUGUGGCAUGACUUCUCCGCGGUGGUGUCUGCACUUAAACGACUUCUCAGUGGGAAAUUGUUGUGCAACUCUGCCAGAUUUCAAAUAAAUAAGUCAACAAAUUGUGGCCCAUAAACAAGCCGAGCGGAAGUCGUCGAAAAGCCACGAAAUCGACAUUAUACAUGGAGGGAAAACAGUCAAAUAGAUUUACAUAAAGCAAUUGUAAGACUCGAAACUUGAAGGGCUGAAUAGAUGUUCUACCAAAGCGUGA